rnacentral:rRNA from 1 species
UGGGGAAUUUUGGACAAUGGGCGAAAGCCUGAUCCAGCAAUGCCGCGUGUGUGAAGAAGGCCUUCGGGUUGUAAAGCACUUUUGUCCGGAAAGAAAUCCUUGGCUCUAAUACAGUCGGGGGAUGACGGUACCGGAAGAAUAAGCACCGGCUAACUACGUGCCAGCAGCCGCGGUAAUACGUAGGGUGCAAGCGUUAAUCGGAAUUACUGGGCGUAAAGCGUGCGCAGGCGGUUUGCUAAGACCGAUGUGAAAUCCCCGGGCUCAACCUGGGAACUGCAUUGGUGACUGGCAGGCUAGAGUAUGGCAGAGGGGGGUAGAAUUCCACGUGUAGCAGUGAAAUGCGUAGAGAUGUGGAGGAAUACCGAUGGCGAAGGCAGCCCCCUGGGCCAAUACUGACGCUCAUGCACGAAAGCGUGGGGAGCAAAACAGGAUUAGAUACCCUGGUAGUCCACGCCCUAAAACGAUGUCAACUAGUUGUUGGGGAUUCAUUUCCUUAGUAACGUAGCUAACGCGUGAAGUUGACCGCCUGGGGAGUACGGUCGCAAGAUUAAAACUCAAAGGAAUUGACGGGGUCAUAGCU